rfam:Cricetulus griseus cell line CHO-K1, whole genome shotgun sequence.
CUGGGACUACAGGCGUGUGCCAACUGACAGAUUCAUAGCUCUUUGUUGAUUCCGUGGGUUGUGGUACAUGGCCGUUCUUAGUUAGUGGAGCGAUUUGUCUGGUUAAUUCCAAUAAAGAAUGAGACUCUGGCAUGCUAACUAGUUACCCGAGACUAGUUAUGCUACAAGUGGCAUUCAGCUACCCGAGACUAAGCAAUAACAGGUCUGUGAUGCCCUUAGAUGUCCUGG